CGUGGAGGAGAGGACACGUGUGUGCUGUAAAUAUAUUACUUGUUGAGCAUGUGAAAUGACAAGUACCAACUCGGAGAGGUUCUUAAAACGAAUUUUAGUUUUGCGCCAGCAUCACUCAAAGUGUGAAUCCCUCUAUGAUAAAAUGGUAUAGUUGACAGCUACACUCUCAUUAGUUUGCACAUCACAGUAAUGUUCCUGUUUGACAAUUCUCUAAAUAAAUUGUGUAUGGGAUGAGGCAAAAUUGUAAUAUAA